rnacentral:rRNA from 1 species
UACGAAGGGGGCUAGCGUUGCUCGGAAUCACUGGGCGUAAAGCGCACGUAGGCGGCUUUUAAGUCAGGGGUGAAAUCCUGGAGCUCAACUCCAGAACUGCCUUUGAUACUGAGAGGCUCGAGUCCGGGAGAGGUGAGUGGAACUGCGAGUGUAGAGGUGAAAUUCGUAGAUAUUCGCAAGAACACCAGUGGCGAAGGCGGCUCACUGGCCCGGUACUGACGCUGAGGAGCGAAAAGCGUGGGGAGCAACAGG